rnacentral:rRNA from 1 species
UAACCUGCCCAAGAGAUCGGGAUAACACCUGGAAACAGAUGCUAAUACCGGAUAACAACAGAUGAUGCCUAUCAACUGUUUAAAAGAUGGUUCUGCUAUCACUCUUGGAUGGACCUGCGGUGCAUUAGCUAGUUGGUAGGGUAACGGCCUACCAAGGCGAUGAUGCAUAGCCGAGUUGAGAGACUGAUCGGCCACAUUGGGACUGUGACACGGCCCAAACUCCUACGGGAGGCAGCAGGG